CUGCAAGCAACUGUUGCAGAAGAAUUGCAGUCGUACUUCGUUGAUCUAGUUUCGUUGGAAGACGCAGCCGACCCUGUUCUAGAUGGUCUUGUUGCUCAAUCAAUAGAAAUACAAGUUUGUCCAGUUGAAGAUGAUGUCAUACGAAACGAUGACAACAACCAUCGACCAAAUAAAUCCCAGAGAGACAACAAAGGUGGACCUCGUCAUCGAAGUUUGCAUCACGUUAAAGGCAGAGAAGAAGAGCAUGGGGAUCCGAUCGUUGAAAGACUUGUGUCUUUAGAUGAGAUAAGAGUUAUCUUAACUGAACAACGGGAGGCAUUUGAGAACAAGAUGGAGGAUUUGAGACUGAAAUGAACACAAGAUUCGCUAGUCUCCAAAAUGAUCUGGGAGGUCAUGUGUGUGGUUUGAGAAAUCAUGUCACUGAUGAGAUGAAUGUUUUUCGACGAAGGUUUGAUGAAGUUGCUACAGAAAUUGGACAACACAAUGUUGGUGCUGAGUAUGGUGGAUUUGGUCAUGACGAUCGCAAUGGAGACGAGCCCCGACAUGAUAUUUUCACUCCCAAUAUUUCUGCGGACAGACAGGAUGGCGGAGAGGCAACCGAACCAGUUGUUUGCAAUAUCCCUGAUGUGUCCAUAACAUCGGGAGGUGGGGUUGGAGUACUUGGGUCAGUAUAUGUUGCUUGUGAUAUUGUGAAAGAGGCACCAUCCGUUGUACCUACAGUUGGUGUGAUCAUUGAUGAUCAACUGGUUCAUGAUAGCGUCAUUUCUGGACCUUCGAUGGCAGCUGAUCCACCUACACGUAGACCUCGAUCGUUGAGGCUGAAGAAGGGUAGUGCAAAUACAAAGACGCCAUACACCCGAUCUGGUUGCAAUAGGGGUAAGAGGGAUGCGUAGAAUUUAGAGGUUCGCCUAUUUUGAUUUAUAUGGUGGUUUUUCAAUAUGUAUUUUGGUUUAUGUCGUGGUACGGAAAAUGUAUUUUGGUUUAGACAGUGGUUUGCAUAUUUUUGUUUAUAUGGUGGUAUGUAAUAUUUUGUGGAUGUAAACAGGUG
rnacentral:lncRNA from 1 species